AAAUGCGAUAAGUAAUGUGAAUUGCAGAAUUCAGUGAAUCGUCGAAUCUUUGAACGCACAUUGCGCCCGCCAGUAUUCUGGCGGGCAUGCCUGUCCGAGCGUCAUUUCAACCAUCAAGCCCCCGGGCUUGUGUUGGGGACCUGCGGCUGCCCGCAGGCCCUGAAAACCAGUGGCGGGCUCGCUGUCACACCGAGCGUAGUAGCAAUCACCUCGCUCAGGGCGUGCUGCGGGUUCCGGCCGUUAAACAGCCUUACAAAACCCAAGGUUGACCUCGGAUCAGGUAGGAAGACCCGCUGAACUUAAGC
rnacentral:misc_RNA from 1 species